GUGCUCACUUUGGCAGCACAUAUACAAAAAUUGGAAUGAAACAGAUAAGAUUAGCAUGGCCCCUGAGCAAGGAUGAUAUGCAAAUUCAUGAAGCUUUCCAUAUUUUA